rnacentral:rRNA from 1 species
CUACGGGUGGCUGCAGUCGAGGAUCAUUCGCAAUGCGCGAAAGCGUGACGAUGCGACGCUGCGUGGAGGAUGACGGCCUUCGGGUUGUAAACUCCUGUCAUUCGGGAAAAACGGCCCUGUACUGAUAACGUACGGGGUAUGAUGGUACCGGAAGAGGAAGCCACGGCUAACUCUGUGGCCAGCAGCCGCGGUAAUACAGAGGUGGCGAGCGUUGUUCGGAUUUACUGGGCGUAAAGCGUGUGUAGGCGGUUUCGUAUGUCGGAUGUGAAAGCCCAUGGCUCAACUAUGGAAUUGCAUCCGAAACUGCGGGACUAGAGUAGAGUAGGGGAGAGCGGAAUUCUAGGUGUAGCGGUGAAAUGCGUUGAUAUCUAGAAGAACACCGGUGGCGAAGGCGGCUCUCUGGAAUCUUACUGACGCUGAGACACGAAAGUCGGGGGAGCAAACAGGAUUAGAUACCCGAGUAGUC